CGAUCCAUGUAACUUUUGUCCCAAUUCCUAUAAAAUAACAUAAAACAUGCAUGAAUAGACACAAACACAUAAAAACAUCCUAAAAGACUUAAGAACAACAAUAAAUUAAGCCCUAAUGUAUCCAAUUCAUGGGUAUAAAACUCACUCAUCAAAUACCCCCAAACUUAAAUCUUUGUUUGUCCUCAAGCAAAAACACAAAAAUAUUAUGCAAUGCAAUGUAAUGAAACUAAUUUAUAUGCCUACGAAUCCAACAGUAAUUAUAGAAACAAGUCUAUUCAACCGGCCUUAGAGAAAUCAAGUAAACAUGAUAAUACAUCAUAUUAAAACAAAUCAGUAAUUUCCCAAUCAAUCAUCAAAUCUUAGACUAUUAUCACUGAUAUAGUGCGUGUGUGCUCCACAACAAUGUUAACCUUGAUUAUACCAGUUUUAAACAGGAAAAGAUUCAAUUCAUAACAAGAAAUCACAUCAAAGCCUGAAUAUUCAAUACUAUACUUAUCUACUUAACUUCAGUCUCACCAUUGGCCAA
rnacentral:lncRNA from 1 species